rnacentral:lncRNA from 1 species
AUGUUCUCCUUCUCUCCUCUGAUUGUCGUUUUGUACAGUUCUCCUUCUCCCCUCUGUCGUUUUGUACAGUUCUCCUUCUCCCCUCCGGUUGUCGUUUUGUACAGUUCUCCUUCUCCCCUCCGGUUGUCGUUUUGUACAGUUCUCCUUCUCCCCUCCGGUUGUCGUUUUGUACAGUUCUCCUUCUCCCCUCCGAUUGUCGUUUUGUACAGUUAUAAUAUAUUUCUUAUGAAAAUGACAGGUCCAAACCAAAUGAAUCACAACCUUCAACAUGUUUUAAAGUUUUGUUGUAUAAAAUGGGUUUCGUGCUCCAUGUUUUGCCAUGUUUCUAAACCAUAUGUUGUGUGUGUGUCUACUCUGUCUGCAGGUUUCCCUCAUCCAGUAGUGGGUGGACCAGGGAGCACCAAAGAUGACUCUGGAUCUAAGGACAAGGCUGGAGGGAGUGGUGGCCCCUCAGACACUCCAGACAUCCAGCUGGGAGCUCCAGGCCCAGGCGGACCAGGGGCCUUGAUGAGUCCUCCAGGCCCAGCAGUGUUACUGGGUCCCAGGCCGGCCAUGCUGCCCAUGCAGCCUCGUCCGGGACUACCACCCCCUCACCUCCAGCCCCACUUCCCCCCUCACCUCCCUCCCCCCAACAUGCCCCCUAUGAUGAUGGGCUCCAGGGGCCCCAACCCCAUGUUCCCCCCUAGGGGGGGCCCUCCAGGUGGGUUCAGGAUGCCCAUGGGCCACCAGUCCAUGGAGGACUUUCCUCACAGACCCCCCAGACAUCCCUUCCAGCCUGGACCCCCCAGACAUCCCUUCCAGCCUGGACCCCCCAGACAUCCCUUCCAGCCCGGACCCCCCGGGGAAGAAGAAGGCAACUGGGAGGGCGGGAGACACUUCAGGGGCGAGAGGCCAGGGUUUGGGGGACGUGACAGGGACGGGGGUAGGUUUGGGGAGCGGGGGAGAGGGUUUCCUAGAGGAGGAGGAGGAGGGGGAAAUGGUCGGCCCAUAGAUGGGCCUGAGGGGAGGUUUGGGGAGCGGGGGAGAGGGUUUCCUAGAGGAGGAGGGGGGGGUCGGUCCAUAGAUGGGCCUGAGGGGAGGGACUGCUUCAUGAACCAACGGGAUAGAUUUGAAUGGUGA